rnacentral:lncRNA from 1 species
CGGGGCUCCGGGGCGUCUGGCCUGGGUGGGACUGAGCCCAUCCAGGGACUGGGACUCCGGGGUUGUGGUGUAGGUGGAUCCGGGGCAGGCUCAGGACCAAGUCCCACUCCUUCCACCAAGGAGCGCCCAGAGGCCGGCGGCAGCUCCAGGUUCACCUCCUCCUCCUCCAGGCCAUUUCCAAUCCAGAGGAAGACCUUCUAAAAGAGGUGAUGGAUGGGAGAGUGCUGACAUACUAUGUGAAGCUACUAUUUGGAGUUGGACACGAGUGCAUGUGACCUUGUGCCACAGCGGCAAUCUUGACUACCACACAAAUGAAUCCAUUCAAAUGUUGGCAAGUGGAGCAGAGUCCCAGGACAGGAGGCGCUCGGAAACCACCGUGAAUUGGACCGCACUGGGAAGCACAGAUGAAGAAAUUCAGCACCGCUUUGUCCUUCAGUGCCUGGCUGCUUUUUCAGCUCGUCUUGCGACUCCAGGCAAGCUAAACCAGUUCUGGAAGAACCUGCGGGAGUCUCAGCAGCUCUGAUGGGAUGAGAGCUGGGUGCAGACUGUGCUCCCUUUGGUUAUGGACACAUAACUCCUGGGCCAGAGGCUAAAACCCCAGGGCCCCUGCUGUCCUUCCCACAGCUUCUUCUUGGAGUCUCAGGGCAAAUCCUUUUGAGCAGCGCCUCCCAGUGGCCAGAAGCUGAAAUGACGGCAGUGGUGCCACCUGGUGAAUGACCCGGGAAGCUGUGGUUGGCCCUGAUUUCUUCUUUGGAGUCUCCGAAACGCUUCCUGUCUUCUGUUCUUCACGCCCCAUGCCCCUGCUAGCAUAUUACUGUUCUGUGACUUCCCUGUGACCUCUACAGUACUCCCAAUCCUGCAUUUGGUCUCCAGGUGUCACCUUUCUUCCAUGUUCCUAACACUUUGAUUCCUGUCUUGAAAAAAGCACCUGCUGCACCAUAAGCCCAGGGAUGUGGCAGCUGCAGCGGGCUUAGAUUUGUGAGGAACCGAGUGUGUCCGGGGAUGUGGCAACUGCAGCGGGCUUGGCUUUGUGAGGAAUCGAAUGUGUCCAGGGAUGUGGCAGCUGCAGCAGGCUUGGUUUUAUGAGGAACCGAGUGUGUCCACGUGGGGGAACGUCAUAGUUGAUACACACGUUUUUAUUUGCACAAAGAAAAUGCUAUUUUUGGAGCCAGAAUUUUCAUGUCUGAUUUAUGGUGAUUUUCUUAAGAACCAGAACUGCUGGCAGAAAGGGGGCACCCACACGCUUAGAUAGCCGAUGUCUUAUUAGAGGGCAGUUUGUGGUUCCUGAUUUGGAAUUUAACAUUCUCCAAACAUUCCAGUCCAAUGAAAGUUUUAUCCCCUUUCUCAUAUAAAAAUUCUUCCCACGAGAGUGACUUGAUUCUCACAAUCCCGUUGGAGUCGUGUGUGAGUCCUACAGUGUGAGGUUCAGCAUUGCCAUCUCCAAGUGCUCUCCGUAGGGAAACAGUUUCUGGUCAUGAUGAGCUUCCGCUUCCCAUCUGAUCCCAGCCCAGCCUGGAAACAGAGCACGUGUUUGAGGAUGGCGGUGUUUGGGGACAGGACAUGUGCGUUUUGUGUGGGGCUGCUAGGACAGGCCUGGCGGGGUGGGGGGUGUCUAAGUCAGUUUACUUGCUUCACAGGUUCCCAGGCCCACCCACGUACCUAGAAUUGGCCUCCAGGAUGGGACCGGAAAUCUGGUUUUGCAUAGAAAUGGCUAGCAGCAGGCACCAUGCCGCUGUCCACUCUCUGCCCGCGUCUGCCCCAGCACUUGGCACAGCAGGACCGAAGCAGAGAUCUGAACCCACAUCUACCUGGCUG